UACGGAGGUGGCAAGCGUUGCUCGGAAUCACUGGGCGUAAAGGGCGCGUAGGCGGGGAGGUAAGUCGGGUGUGAAAUCCCUCGGCCCAACCGAGGAACUGCGCCCGAGACUGCUUCUCUUGAGUCCCGGAGAGGAAGAUGGAAUUCCCGGUGUAGCGGUGAAAUGUGUAGAGAUCGGGAGGAACACCGGUGGCGAAGGCGGUCUUCUGGACGGUGACUGACGCUGAGGCGCGAAAGCCAGGGGAGCAAACGGG
rnacentral:rRNA from 1 species